ACUCCUACGGGAGGCAGCAGUGGGGAAUAUUGCACAAUGGGCGCAAGCCUGAUGCAGCCAUGCCGCGUGUGUGAAGAAGGCCUUCGGGUUGUAAAGCACUUUCAGUCGUGAGGAAGGUAGUGUAGUUAAUAGCUGCAUUAUUUGACGUUAGCGACAGAAGAAGCACCGGCUAACUCCGUGCCAGCAGCCGCGGUAAUACGGAGGGGGUUAGCGUUGUUCGGAAUUACUGGGCGUAAAGCGCGCGUAGGCGGAUUGGAAAGUUGGGGUGAAAUCCCGGGGCUCAACCCCGGAACUGCCUCCAAAACAUCCCAGUCUUGAGUUCGAGAGAGGUGAGUGGAAUUCCGAGUGUAGAGGUGAAAUUCGUAGAUAUUCGGAGGAACACCAGUGGCGAAGGCGGCUCACUGGCUCGAUACUGACGCUGAGGUGCGAAAGUGUGGGAGCAAAACAGGAUUAGAUACCCUGGUAGGCUCUG
rnacentral:rRNA from 1 species